rnacentral:rRNA from 1 species
CGUGAACCUUUACUAUAGCUUGACACUGAACAUUGAGCCUUGAUGUGUAGGAUAGGUGGGAGGCUUUGAAGUGUGGACGCCAGUCUGCAUGGAGCCGACUUGAAUACCACCCUUUAAUGUUUGAUGUUCUAACGUUGGCCCGUUAUCCGGGUUGCGGACAGUGUCUGGUGGGUAGUUUGACUGGGGCGGUCUCCUCCUAAAGAGUAACGGAGGAGCACGAAGGUUGGCUAAUCCUGGUCGGAC